AAUCUACCUUUCCGUUCGGGAUAACUAGCCGAAAGGUUAGCUAAUACCUGAUACGAUCACCGGGUGGCAUCAUCUAGUGAUGAAAGCAGCAAUGCGCGGAUUGAGGAGCCUGCGGCCCAUUAGCUAGUUGGUGAGGGUAACGGCCCACCAAGGCGACGAUGGGUAGCUGGUCUGAGAGGACGACCAGCCACACUGGGACUGAGACACGGCCCAG
rnacentral:rRNA from 1 species